UACGUAGGGGGCAAGCGUUGUCCGGAUUUAUUGGGCGUAAAGAGCUCGUAGGUGGCGUGUCGCGUCUGCCGUGAAAGCCCAUGGCUUAACUGUGGGUCUGCGGUGGAUACGGGCAGGCUGGAGGCUGGUAGGGGCAAGCGGAAUUCCUGGUGUAGCGGUGAAAUGCGCAGAUAUCAGGAGGAACACCGGUGGCGAAGGCGGCUUGCUGGGCCAGUUCUGACGCUGAGGAGCGAAAGCGUGGGGAGCGAACAGG
rnacentral:rRNA from 1 species